AUGGCCGCCGGCGCCGCGGCCGCCGUACACCACCACCAUCCUAUCGCGGCUUCGCUCCGCCCUGCUUCGAGGCGGCUCAGCAGCAGCAGCAGCGCCAGCAGCUCGCCGCCCCAUCCCGCGGCCUUCCUCUGCUGCUCCGGCGCCAAGACGCCGAGCAUCCAGCUCCAGGCUCCCCGCGUUGCGUUCAACCCCUCCGGCAACUUCGACCUCUCCCUCUCCGACCAAGACGAUGCACCACAAGUUGAGCCUCCUCCACCACCUACCGAAGGGCGCAUCGAGAUUGUUAUCAACAAGGACAUCAUCCGAACACUUGACCUAUCGCCCGUCCAAGAAGCCCUCGGCAACCCGAAUUCCUUAACGACAGCUCAAUCAAGAAAUCUGUUGGACCGAACCGUUGGUUUCACAAUAAACUACGAGAGAGAGGAUCCAUACGACACGAGGGAACUGUCGGAGUUUCCAGAUGUAAGGCUAUGGUUUGUGAGGCUUGACGCUUCCUACCCCUGGUUUCCGGUGGUGCUUGACUGGAGAGCCGGUGAGCUCGCCAGGUACGCUGCAAUGCUGGUCCCUCACCAGAUGAGUAUGCGUCAUGGCGUGGUCUUCAACCCGGAGGCAUUGGAGCUGUUUGGGAUGAAGAAAGUUUUCCUCGUCUACUCGUGGCUGAAGCAGCAGAACCAUGCCAAGCCCAGGUUGAAGACGGGCGACAUGGCCAAGAUGCUCGGUUUUGGCAUUGGGGAUGAGUUGUUUGAUUUGAUCGAGAAGUAUCCUAUUGGUGAACUCUAG
rnacentral:rRNA from 1 species